CGCUUCCUACGGGGGGCAGCAGUGAGGAAUAUUGGUCAAUGGCCGGAAGGCUGAACCAGCCAAGUCGCGUGAGGGAAUAAGGCCCUAUGGGUCGUAAACCUCUUUUGUCAGGGAGCAAAGGUGUCCACGUGUGGACGAGAGGAGAGUACCUGAAGAAAAAGCAUCGGCUAACUCCGGGCCAGCAGCCGCGGUAAUACGGAGGAUGCGAGCGUUAUACGGAUUUAUUGGGUUUAAAGGGAGGGGAGGCGGAGAGUCAAGUCAGCGGUAAAAUUUCGGGGCUCAACCCCGUCGGGCCGUUG
rnacentral:rRNA from 1 species